GGUCUAUGGAACUCUUAACGGGACAACAGUCCACAUGCCUAGCAGUGCCCACCAGCCACCAAAAAAACCCAAAAACCUCCCAUCAGAAUGCUGGGUCACAACCCCUUAAUGGCUUGAGAUCCACAACUGGAGAAGCUGUGAUCUUGUAGACUUCCCAGGGAUCAAUGUGAUGAAGACUGAGUCAUCUCUGGAGGUGACAAGAUAGGAUCACUCUGGUGCUCUGGAGAGAAGUGACCAAAGAGGGCUAGAAGGAAGCAAUGGGGCUGAUCGGGAGGCCAUCCCAGCAGUCCAGACAAGAGAUGAUGGCGGCUUAGAAUAGGCUGACAGCGAUGGAGGCGGUAUCAAAAGAGGGGCACCUCUUGGCCAAGAUGCUGUGUUAGUCCAUUCUCAUGGCACUAUGAAGAAAAACGCAAGACUCAGUAAUUUUUAAAGAAAAGAGAUUUAAUUGACUUCCAGUUCUGCAGGGCUAGGGUGGCCUCAAGAAACUUACAACCACUGCUGAAGGGGAAGCAAACAUGUCCCUCACAUGGCAGCAACAGGAAGCUCAGCGCGAAAGUGGGGAAAGCCCCUUAUAAAACCAUCAGAUAUCCUGACAACUCACUCUCAUGAGAACAGCACGGAGGUAAUCACCCCCAUGAUUCAAUUACCUCUCACCGAGUUCCUCCCACAAGCAUGGGGCCUGUGGGAACUACAGUUCAAGAUGAGAUUUGGGUGGGGACACAGCCAAACCAUAUCAGGUGCCUUGAUGGCACAUCACCCCCUCAAGUGCUGCUAACCAAGAACAAAUACAUGUUAUUGAUUCCUGGACUAUUAAGCCUUUUUACAGUUGUUAGGCUUUUCCUUUAUUAUAUUGCAAGGGCCAGGUAUGUACUUUUCCCCCUCUGUAUACCCUGGUUCUUGGGGUACCAUAGUUGCCCCAGAAAGAUUUCUUAAUGGGUUGGUUAGUUGUAAGGCAAGCGUUUUAAGAGAGUCAGGGAUCCUUCAGUCAUAAGCGACUAAAAGUCCAGUCUGACUGGCUUAAGUUAAGGUAAAAAUUUUUUUUUUUUUUUAGGUCACACAACUGGGAAGUUUAUGGGGCAGAGUUACCUUCAGGUCUGCCUUCAUGUAGGGGCUUAAGAUAGACACCUGGUUUUUCUCUUUCUCUCCAUAUCUAGGCUCUGCUUUCUUCUUGGCAGGCUCCAUUCCCAGGUAGAUCCCUUCUGUCUGAUUGUAAGAUGGCUGCAGAACUUCCAGCCUUACACCAUCCUGGAUUCAAGUCCAUUAGGAGAGUCUGUGCCUCUCCCAGCAUCCCUGGCAACAAUUUCACUGGACCUGGGUCUCUCCUGAACCAGUUGUGGUGGUCAGUGGACUGUGGUGCUCCAUGAACUUA